GGAGUUCAGGCAAAAGUUUUGCACACAGGAAUCCACUGUGACAAUGACAUGGAUUUUUAAGUAAAUNAAUUUUGUUUAAGACUUAUUGGACAUACAAGUGAUGUUCACGCAUUAAUUAUCACAUUUAUAUUGAACUGCAUCCCCAAGGAACCAUUCUUUGUAAAACUCAUUAUGCAGAAACAACACUGGGAGCAAAGGCCAAAUAAGUGGNGAGUUCANGCAAAGAUUCUGCACACAGG
rnacentral:lncRNA from 1 species